rnacentral:rRNA from 1 species
GGUGCGCGAGAUGAGUAUUCUAAGGCGCUUGAGAGAACUCAGGAGAAGGAACUCGGCAAAUUGACACCGUAACUUCGGAAGAAGGUGUGCCCUAGUAGUGUGAAGUGAACAACGGAGCAUGAAUGGGUUGCAAAAAAUCGGUGGCUGCGACUGUUUAUUAAAAACACAGCACUCUGCAAACACGAAAGUGGACGUAUAGGGUGUGACGCCUGCCCGGUGCUGGAAGAUUAAAUGAUGGGGUGCAAGCUCUUGAUUGAAGUCCCAGUAAACGGCGGCCGUAACUAUAACGGUCCUAAGGUAGCGAAAUUCCUUGUCGGGUAAGUUCCGACCUGCACGAAUGGCGUAACGAUGGCCACACUGUCUCCUCCUGAGACUCAGCGAAGUUGAAAUGUUUGUGAUGAUGCAAUCUCCCCGCGGAAAGACGGAAAGACCCCAUGAACCUUUACUGUAGCUUUGUAUAGGACUCUGAACAGAUCUGUGUAGGAUAGGUGGGAGGCUUUGAAGCAGGGUCGCUAGAUCUUGUGGAGCCAACGUUGAAAUACCACCCUGGUGUGUUUGAGGUUCUAACCUAGGUCCAUUAUCUGGAUCGGGGACAGUGCAUGGUAGGCAGUUUGACUGGGGCGGUCUCCUCCCAAAGCGUAACGGAGGAGUUCGAAGGUACGCUAGUUACGGUCGGACAUCGUGACGAUAGUGCAAUGGCAUAAGCGUGCUUAACUGCGAGACUGACAAGUCGAGCAGAUGCGAAAGCAGGACAUAGUGAUCCGGUGGUUCUGUAUGGAAGGGCCAUCGCUCAACGGAUAAAAGGUACUCUGGGGAUAACAGGCUGAUACCGCCCAAGAGUUCAUAUCGACGGCGGUGUUUGGCACCUCGAUGUCGGCUCAUCUCAUCCUGGGGCUGUAGCCGGUCCCAAGGGUAUGGCUGUUCGCCAUUUAAAGAGGUACGUGAGCUGGGUUUAAAACGUCGUGAGACAGUUUGGUCCCUAUCUUCCGUGGGCGCUGCAGAUUUGAGGAAGCCUGCUCCUAGUACGAGAGGACCGGAGUGGACACACCUCUGGUGUAUCGGUUGUCACGCCAGUGGCAUUGCCGAGUAGCUAAGUGUGGAAGAGAUAACCGCUGAAAGCAUCUAAGCGGGAAACUCGUUUCAAGAUGAGAUCUGCCGGGGCCUUGAGCCCCCUGAAGAGUCGUUCAAGACCAGGACGUUGAUAGGUCAGGUGUGGAAGCGCAGUAAUGCGUUAAGCUAACUGAUACUAAUUGCUCGUGCGGCUUGACCCC